UACGGAGGGGGCAAGCGUUAUUCGGAAUUAUUGGGCGUAAAGGGCGCGUAGGCGGCUAGAUGUGUCAAAGGUGAAAUCCCUCGGCUCAACUGAGGAACUGCCUUUGAAACUGUCUGGCUUGAGGCCGGGAGAGGGUAGCGGAAUUCCCAGUGUAGCGGUGAAAUGCGUAGAUAUCUGGAGGAACACCGGUGGCGAAGGCGGCAUCCUGGACCGGCAUUGACGCUGAGGAGCGAAAGCGUGGGGAGCGAACAGG
rnacentral:rRNA from 1 species